CUCUUAAGUUGUUACGAUUUUUAUGUAGAGGGUGUUUUUUUUUUCCCCCGUAUGAUGUUUUCUGGGCUUGAUUAAGCCAGUUUGUUGCCUGAGGGAAAAAAAAUUACUCAGACAGAAGGUGAAGAAUAGACUAAACCAGAAUUUUUUUUAUCUGCGUUGUUUUGAGGGCUAAUAAGCAAACCCCACUAAUGCCAGCACCUUUGACUAGCGACAAUAAGGGAAAGAAAGCUGCAUUUUUAGCCUUUUCGUGAGUGAGGGGCUAAUCGUAGGCACCCGAACAAUGCAAUCUAUAUGCAGAUGACAUUUGCAGAAUCUGUUGAUAAGCAAAGAUUUGCAAUUUCUUUGUGUGGCUGGCAUUCAUUCCUCGAUUCCUCUGGUAGAUGUUCUGACCUUGGGGGAGCUGUGAGGGGGUAGGGCUGAGAUGCACAUUAUCAGAGGCAAGACAAUGUUCAGAUUUCACAGCAGGAUUUAGAUAAGCUUAUUAAACAAAUGCCAUCUUUUAAAGUCGGGGCUUUGUUAUUACAAACACUAAUGACAUCUUUUAAAGUUGGUUAGGCUUCUUUACAGGGAAAGAGUCACUGGAACAGAUGAUUCAAAUAGAAAA
rnacentral:lncRNA from 1 species